UGUAGAGACAACAAAAGUGACAGCCUCAAA
rnacentral:piRNA from 2 species